rnacentral:misc_RNA from 1 species
GUCAAGGAUCGAUUGAGAAAGAAAUAUGGCAAAUAAUUCAUGGAGGUGGUACAGUUGUUAGAGAUCGUGAUGGUCUUUGGUUCUUUCUAUGGCAUUUGCAGUAAUGGUAGAUAGCAGAAGCUAAGGAUUGGCAUUGCUAAUUUGGGUGUUACAGACAAAGAGCACAUUGUUGUCUUCAGUGAAGCAAGAGCAGGAUCGAAUAUGACUAAUACACCAAACCCUGUUUGUGGUACUCAGUGAACUUUGUGCUAACUUUACUCUUUUGUUCUAUAUGGAAAAUGAAAGAUGUAUCGCUGUGUAGACUCUGUAUUUGAUGCAAAUGAACUGUGCUAUACCUAAAACCAUUUGUAUUACGUGCCUUGGAGGCUAAGGUGUAUGUCUAUGGUGCAUCCUUUGAUUAAAGAAAAUGUGGAUGCGUAAG